rnacentral:rRNA from 1 species
UACGUAGGGUCCGAGCGUUGUCCGGAAUUACUGGGCGUAAAGAGCUCGUAGGUGGUUUGUCGCGUUGUUCGUGAAAACUCACAGCUUAACUGUGGGCGUGCGGGCGAUACGGGCAGACUGGAGUACUGCAGGGGAGACUGGAAUUCCUGGUGUAGCGGUGAAAUGACGCAGAUAUCAGGAGGAACACCGGUGGCGAAGGCGGGUCUCUGGGCCGAUACUGACGCUGAGGAGCGAAAGCCGUGGGGAGCGAACAGG